UGGUGGAGCCGCUGAUCCAAGGUGGUAGUAGGUGAGUGAUGGGGUGACGCAGGAAGGUAGUCCAGCCCGGGCGGUGGUUGUCCCGGGGUAAGGGUGUAGCCCGUCAUCCAGGCAAAUCCGGAUGGCACAUAAGGGUGAGACCUGAUGCCGAGCCGAUUGUGGUGAAGUGGAUGAUCCUAUGCUGUCGAGAAAAGCCUCUAGCGAGUUUCAUGGCGGCCCGUACCCUAAACCGAC
rnacentral:rRNA from 1 species